rfam:Zostera marina strain Finnish scaffold_27, whole genome shotgun sequence.
GGGGAUGUAGCUCAGAUGGUAAAGCGUUCGCUUAGCAUGCGAGAGGUCUGGGGAUCUAUACCCCACUUCUCCA